UGUGUAGGCGGUUGCUUAAGUUUGGUGUGAAAUCUCCCGGCUCAACUGGGAGGGUGCGCCGAAUACUGAGUGACUAGAGUGCGGGAGAGGAGAGUGGAAUUCCUGGUGUAGCGGUGAAAUGCGUAGAUAUCAGGAGGAACACCGGUGGUGUAGACGGCUCUCUGGACCGUAACUGACGCUGAGACACGAAAGCGUGGGUAGCAAACAGGAUUAGAUACCCUGGUAGUCCACGCCCUAAACGAUGCAUAUUUGGUGUGGGCAGUUCAGUCUGUCCGUGCCGGAGCUAGCGCGUUAAAUAUGCCGCCGUGGGGAGUACAGUCGCAAGGCUGAA
rnacentral:rRNA from 1 species